rnacentral:rRNA from 1 species
UACGUAGGGUGCGAGCGUUAAUCGGAAUUACUGGGCGUAAAGCGUGCGCAGGCGGUUUGGUAAGACAGAUGUGAAAUCCCCGGGCUCAACCUGGGAACAGCGCUUGAGACUGGCACGCUCGAGUUCGGGAGAGGAUGGUGGAAUUCCCAGUGUAGAGGUGAAAUUCGUAGAUAUUGGGAAGAACACCGAUGGCGAAGGCAGCCAUCUGGACCGACACUGACGCUGAGGCGCGAAAGCGUGGGGAGCAAACAGG